rnacentral:rRNA from 1 species
ACGCUCGACACCUACGGGGGGCAGCAGUGGGGAAUAUUGCACAAUGGGGGAAACCCUGAUGCAGCGACGCCGCGUGGAGGAAGAAGGUCUUCGGAUUGUAAACUCCUGUUGUUGGGGAAAAAGAGGAUGGUACCCAACAAGGAAGUGACGGCUAACUACGUGCCAGCAGCCGCGGUAAUCUGAGGCGGGCUGGACAAGGC